rnacentral:rRNA from 1 species
UACGGGGGGGGCAAGCGUUGUUCGGAAUUACUGGGCGUAAAGGGCUCGUAGGCGGCCAACUAAGUCCGACGUGAAAUCCCCAGGCUUAACCUGGGAACUGCGUCGGAUACUGGAUGGCUUGAAUUCGGGAGAGGGAUGCAGAAUUCCAGGUGUAGCGGUGAAAUGCGUAGAUAUCAGGAGGAACACCGGUGGCGAAGGCGGGUCUCUGGGCCGAUACUGACGCUGAGGAGCGAAAGCGUGGGGAGCGAACAGG